AAGGGAUUUUGUUCUGAUUUUCAAGAAGUUAGAAGUUUGUUAGUGUGAUUAGAGUUUAAUCUAUUUGACUAAUCAUUAAUUAUUCAUGUUUUGACAAAUACAAUGCCGAUAUGAAAGAAGACAAGUUAUAAAGCAUCAAUCAAUCAUCAUUAUUUUCCUGUGACUAGAUUUAUUUGCAUCACACAGCGAGUGUAUGAGCAGAUAAGACUGAUUUCUUAAUCACAACUUCUGUGACGUAUUAUUAGCUGCUUUUUCACUAUCAGGCAGAACGGUUAAGAACAGUCAGGUACGGGUCACGUUCAGACAACUGUUAUGUGGUGUUGCCCUGUUAUAAUGAUGGAGGGCCUGAAGGUGGAGUGGAAAAGAAAAGAGGAUCUGGUUCAUCUGUAUAAAGAUGGUGCGAGUCAAGCAGAGGAACAACAUGAAGAUUAUCAGGAGAGAGCUCAUUUCUUCACUGAGCACCUUAAAGAUGGAAACUUCUCUCUCCGUCUGGAUGAUCUGAGAGCUGAAGAUGAGGGACAGUACACAUGUACAGUUCACUUUCAUGGUUUUCGUCGCUCAGAAAUAAAUAAUUCAAAAUAACAGGCAGUUUUCAACCAAUACAAAGUUGGUACUGAAACUACUUGAACCAGUCUUCCGUCUUCAGAUGUUUCUGGUCUUCUGUCCAAAUGUCCUGAUGUUUCUGGCGUUUGUUUUCUGGGCUGUUUCUGAAGGAUCUCUGUUUGAGUCCGUCUCUUGUUGUUCUCUUUAUUUUCUGAGACCUCUC